CAGUCGCCACGGUAAUACGAAGGGUGCAAGCGUUAAUCGGAAUUACUGGGCGUAAAGCGUGCGUAGGCGGUUUGUUAAGUCUGUUGUGAAAUCCCCGGGCUCAACCUGGGAAUGGCAAUGGAUACUGGCAAGCUAGAGUGUGUCAGAGGAUGGUGGAAUUCCCGGUGUAGCGGUGAAAUGCGUAGAGAUCGGGAGGAACAUCGGUGGCGAAGGCGGCCAUCUGGGACAACACUGACGCUGAGGCACGAAAGCGUGGGGAGCAAACAGGAUUAGAUACCCGCGUAGUCCCUGUCUCUUAUAC
rnacentral:rRNA from 1 species